rnacentral:rRNA from 1 species
CCUAAGGUAGCGAAAUUCCUUGUCGGGUAAGUUCCGACCUGCACGAAUGGCGUAAUGAUGGCCAGGCUGUCUCCACCCGAGACUCAGUGAAAUUGAACUCGCUGUGAAGAUGCAGUGUACCCGCGGCAAGACGGAAAGACCCCGUGAACCUUUACUAUAGCUUGACACUGAACACUGGUCCUUGAUGUGUAGGAUAGGUGGGAGGCUUUGAAGUGUGGACGCCAGUCUGCAUGGAGCCGACCUUGAAAUACCACCCUUUAAUGUUUGAUGUUCUAACGUUGACCCGUGAUCCGGGUUGCGGACAGUGUCUGGUGGGUAGUUUGACUGGGGCGGUCUCCUCCUAAAGAGUAACGGAGGAGCACGAAGGUUGGCUAAUCCUGGUCGGACAUCAGGAGGUUAGUGCAAUGGCAUAAGCCAGCUUGACUGCGAGCGUGACGGCGCGAGCAGGUGCGAAAGCAGGUCAUAGUGAUCCGGUGGUUCUGAAUGGAAGGGCCAUCGCUCAACGGAUAAAAGGUACUCCGGGGAUAACAGGCUGAUACCGCCCAAGAGUUCAUAUCGACGGCGGUGUUUGGCACCUCGAUGUCGGCUCAUCACAUCCUGGGGCUGAAGUAGGUCCCAAGGGUAUGGCUGUUCGCCAUUUAAAGUGGUACGCGAGCUGGGUUUAGAACGUCGUGAGACAGUUCGGUCCCUAUCUGCCGUGGGCGCUGGAGAAUUGAGGGGGGCUGCUCCUAGUACGAGAGGACCGGAGUGGACGCAUCACUGGUGUUCGGGUUGUCAUGCCAAUGGCACUGCCCGGUAGCUAAAUGCGGAAGAGAUAAGUGCUGAAAGCAUCUAAGCACGAAACUUGCCCCGAGAUGAGUUCUCCCUGACUCCUUGAGAGUCCUGAAGGAACGUUGAAGACGACGACGUUGAUAGGCCGGGUGUGUAAGCGCAGCGAUGCGUUGAGCUAACCGGUACUAAUGAACCGUGAGGCUUAACCUU